rnacentral:rRNA from 1 species
CACCAAGAAAUUAAGUCAUAUUAAAAUGGUAAAAAGACAGUUAGACUUAUAGUUUUAAAAAGGCUAUUUAAUGUUUUGCAUAGAGGUAAAAUUUAAGUGCAAUAAUAUAAUUUAGUAGUAGCUUAAUGUGUUGAAUCUGUGAAAUCCUUGAGGGAAACUGGGAUUAGGUACCCCAUUAUUCUUGGGUAUAAAUUAAUAUAUCUUAUGUUUUACCAGAGUACUAUGAAUUCUUUAAAAUUUAAAACUCAAAGAACUUGGCGGUGUUUUAGACCACUUAGGGGAACCUGUCUCAUAAUCGACGAUCCACGUUUUACCUGACCCUUUUUUGUUUUCAGCCUGUAUACCGUUGUCGUCAGGUAACUUUUUAGAAUUUAAAAGUUAGCUAUAUAAAGUAUAAUUUAGUACGUCAAAUCAAGGUGCAGCUUAUAAUAGGGGGAGGAUGGGUUACAAUUAUUUAUUUAUAAUUUACGGAAUAUUGUGUGAAUUAGCGAUAUAAAGGAGGACUUGAAAGUAAAUUGGAUUAUAUAAACAAUUUGAAUAAGGCUCUGAAACGUGU